AUACGUAGGUGGCAAGCGUUGUCCGGAUUUACUGGGCGUAAAGCGCGCGCAGGCGGUUCCUUAAGUCUGAUGUGAAAGCUCCCGGCUCAACCGGGGAGGGUCAUUGGAAACUGGGGAACUUGAGUGCAGAAGAGGAUAGUGGAAUUCCAAGUGUAGCGGUGAAAUGCGUAGAGAUUUGGAGGAACACCAGUGGCGAAGGCGACUGUCUGGCCUGUAACUGACACUCAGGCGCGAAAGCGUGGGGAGCAAACAGGAUUAGAUACCCUGGUAGCCCACGCCGUAAACGAUGAGUGCUAAGUGUUGGGGGGUUUCCGCCCCUCGGUGCUGCAGCUAACGCAUUAAGUACACCGCCUGGGGAGUACGGUCGCAAGACUGAAACUCAAAGGAAUUGACGGGG
rnacentral:rRNA from 1 species